rnacentral:rRNA from 1 species
GACGAACGCUGGCGGCGUGCUUAACACAUGCAAGUCGAACGGAAAGGCCCUGCUUGCAGGGUGCUCGAGUGGCGAACGGGUGAGUAACACGUGGGUGAUCUGCCCCUUACUUUGGGAUAAGCCUGGGAAACUGGGUCUAAUACUGGAUAGGACCAUGCUGUAGGUGGUGUGGUGGAAAGAUUAGUUUCGGUAAGGGAUGAGCUCGCGGCCUAUCAGCUUGUUGGUGGGGUAAUGGCCUACCAAGGCGUCGACGGGUAGCCGGCCUGAGAGGGUGGACGGCCACAUUGGGACUGAGAUACGGCCCAGACUCCUACGGGAGGCAGCAAUGGGGAAUAUUGCACAAUGGGCGCAAGCCUGAUGCAGCGACGCCGCGUGGGGGAUGACGGCCUUCGGGUUGUAAACUCCUUUCAGCCAUGACGAAGCCCUUGCGGUGACGGUAGUGGUAGAAGAAGCACCGGCUAACUACGU